rnacentral:rRNA from 1 species
UACGUAGGGUGCGAGCGUUGUUCGGAAUUACUGGGCGUAAAGGGCGCGUAGGCGGCCUGUUAAGUCGAACGUGAAAUCCCUGGGCUCAACCCAGGAACUGCGUCCGAUACUGGCAGGCUUGAAUCCGGGAGAGGGAUGUGGAAUUCCAGGUGUAGCGGUGAAAUGCGUAGAUAUCUGGAGGAACACCGGUGGCGAAAGCGACUCUCUGGACGGCAACUGACGCUGAGGCACGAAAGCGUGGGGAGCAACAGG